CGAGUAAGCCAGUCAAUCGCUGCUGACUUACGUCAGGAGAGGAAAGUCCGAGCUCCGUAGAGCAGGGUGCUGGUUAACUGCCAGUGGAGGUGACUCUAAGGAAAGUGCAACAGAGAUAUACCGCCCAAGUUUUUGGGUAAGGGUGGAAAGGUGAGGUAAGAGCUCACCAGCAUAUAGGUGACUAUAUGGCUAUGUAAACCCCACCUGGAGCAAGACCGAAUAGAGAGGCAAAUGGGGCUGCUCGUCCCGCCUCUGGGUGUGUCGCUUGAGCCUAUUGGGAACAAUAGGCCUAGAUAGAUGAUUGACUAAUACAGAACUCGGCUUAUAGACUUAUCUCGCUAU
rfam:Clostridium intestinale TRNW genomic scaffold scaffold1, whole genome shotgun sequence.